GUUGAAGCUGGGUUUAGCCUUUAUAAGUCUGUCGGUUCAAGUCUCGGGUUGCUGGCGUUAGCAGUAUCGUAACUAGUAAAGUGUUCUUGAACUUAGUCUCUACUUUGUGCCUCAAUUUUGUGUUGAUUGGAGGCUUGGGUUGUUUUUUUUUCGUUGGGUCUUCUUUGAUUGUGGCCGAGCUGUGGAUUGGACCUCUAAAAUUAGUGGAAGUUGAAUAUACGGCAAUCCUGCUGCGGUACAAGAAACGGUUUGUGGUUUUGUAUAGCGAACUCUGCGUUGUUUGGGCAUCUGUGCAAAAUUAAUAGGGAAUAAGGGUCUUUCAAUUAGUGCCGUGGAUAGAAUAGUUUAUUUGACUUUCUUCGAGAAUAAUUUUUGUGAGCGGAAGACUAAUUGCUCUUGAUUACCGUUAAGUGGGCAUGUGAGAUUCAAGCUGGAUACCCAAGGUGCUCAAGUGGUGAAACCAAUUGCUAAGUAAAUUAACUCUGCUAGUGGAGCUACGAUAUCUGGUUCUCUAGUGAUUACCCAAGAAUUUGCUUCAAAAUUGAGUAUUUUGAGAACUUAAAGCUAAGAAUUGGUUCAGAAUUGGUUCACAGGAAAUUUCAUGUCGACUGUAAAAGAAGCUCUAGGGCCGAGGCUCUCCCACACUUGUAUUGCUUUUAUGAUUUCUUUAAUUUUCUGUUCUUAUCCAUUAUGGUUUUCAGUUUCUUGAGCGUGAGCGGUAGUUUUUCAAAACCCACCGGAGUGCGGACCACAAACGCUACCCAUUCUUUGUCUCCUCAGCCAUAGUUGGAUAUUGCAAUUACGGAAUUUGCAAACCCUGUGGAGAAUGUUGACAGAACUUCACCAUACUCAAUGGACAAUUGUUUCAACUACUCUUGGUGCGACAAUAUGGACACGCUUUUGGUCUACCACUACGACUCGUAAUAUUCCCCUAUGUGGUAAUUCAAGGAUGCAUUUGAAAGGAUCCUAUACUACACCAUGGACCCUUCAAAGGCUUGCCUAUUCCUUGUCUUUGUGGAUCGGAGACUGAACGGUCCACCUCUGAACUGAUUGCCUUACUGAAAUCAUGGCCUCAACCAUGUCGUUAUCUCAACUGUGGAUAAGCUAAAGAAUCCUGACGCAUGAUUGCUUGAAAUGGCAUCCACGAUGACCUCCAUCACGCAUCAAACGACCUACCGCGCAAGAUUCGAUAUCAGUGUACUCCUGCUGCAUAGAUUGUUUUACCCUAAUUUGCAAGAACGAAGGGCUCAAGAUAGAAAGCAUUUCUUGACGUUCAAGGGGACUUAGUAUGUGGAAGAGAAGUCUCAAGAGAGCAGAGUGUGCAGCAACCCAAUUUUGAGAAGGAUGCUGAAUGGAGAGGAUAUCUUUAUUGUUACCACGUGUAAGCAGGCAUUCGCAAACUUCUUUGAAUUUUUUUGGAAUUCCGCACAAACAAAAAAAAAAAGAAUAAUAUGGUUAAGUGUUGAGUAAGUUUGAUCCUAAGAGUAUUUGUUUGUCUCCUUCUGAUCCUUGGCUCUUGCAUUAAUUGCAAGUGCCAAACAAAGAAGCAUCGCUGAGACGCCCUGGAAUAGGGGCCGGUUGUGGGAGUAACCAAUCCCUGUACAGCCAAACCAAGUUUGACGACUUAAUGAAUUCUACCUUAGGUCUUGUUCCAGCUGGUAGAGGGCCAAGCACGUACCGCCUCAUGGAGGUUUUGUCUGCAGGUUCAAUCCCAAUUGCAAUUUCUAACAACCUCGUCCUUUCAUUCGACACCCUCAUUGAGUGGAGGUGGUGCUUGUUCGUGUUCCCUCCCCCCCAGAUACACAAAAUUGUGCCCACUUUGAGAAGCCUCAAAUGGGACAAAAUUGAGUUUAGGCAGAAGCACUGUCUCUUCAUCUACCGUGAGUUUUUUGGAAGUCAGGACAAGAUUGUUGAGACCACUGUAAUGGCACUCAAAUCCAGGUUCUUUGGUGUUCUUCCCAAACUCAUUCCUAAGAUUCCCCUUCCUUCUUGGGAAUUGAGUUAAAAAAAGAAGGAUUCCAAAUUCAACUCUCAAUAAUCUGAUUGUCCUCUCUUUCAUUAACAAGAAGCAGUCAUAUUUUAUGUUUAAAUGUGGUGCGCAUCAGCUCAAUCAACCUUGUGGAAAAUGUACUAUAGAGUUGAUGAUAGAAAGAAGAGCUGCUUAGAACGGUCUAUACGCACGACCACCAUCUGUUCUAUUUGAAUUUCAUCAAAAAAGGUUCUUAGUUUGUUAGUAGCAACUACCUCUCAUUAUUUCUUUGUGCACGAACUUUUUCUCGCCUUUUGUUUGUCUUUCACAAACUAUUUUGGAAUACUUCCUAUUGGUUCUUCAUGUUAUCCUGUUAUCUUUGUAUUUAGAUAACUUGUAUUGCUUUACUAACUCUUAUACUGGGUUCCAUAAAAGGAGCUGUCAGUUGUAAACAAAUUGGAUGUACCGUAAUGUGAUGUUAAAAAGUAGGCUUGUGGUCGUUAUUAGUUUCAUUUGAUCUUGUGGGUAAACAUCUUAUAAAUGCUACCAACAUAUCAAUAGGACUAUUCUAUGUUUUUUUAGAAAGCAACAAACGACACUUGUAAACUCGUAUACUACAGAAAUGUUUGACAAAUCUGUUGUUGGUGACGUUCUUACGUCACUGUGGCCUUCAUCAUCUGCUACAUAUUCUGAAGUAUCUGUGCUGGACGUGUUCUCUGCAUCUUUACCUUUGUAAGUCUUGAUUCUCCAAGUAAACGGCUCUGGGUUUGUAUUCGUUCUUGGUCAUGGUUUUUGCUCUGAAAUUCAGAAAAUCUGCUGGCGUCCAGAUAACCCUUGACGAGAACAAGGAGUACAUGAAUUGAAGUUGUUACAGGCUUUGUGGUGUACAACCGGGCAUGUACUCAAUUAUUUCUUUCGAAAUUUGAUUCUUAGAGGUACCUAACCCAUAAUUUUUCUUGAGUCGUGGAGGUUGUUCUUUUAAAAGAGUAAUGCGAUCGCAAUCUCUGCUCCUGAGCAUUCCAACAAGGGCAGUUGCAAGGUAGUUAAAUUAUGUUUGCGUAAUAAAUAACUUCGAUUGUGAAUCUUAUAUUUCCUCACUUCACUUGUCUCAACAUUCUUGAUCUCUUCAAACACGAUGGAGUGGAGAUGAACACAAUGCAUUGUUUUUUCUCAGCUUUGAUGUAGGCAGAGGUUGUGAGUGGAUCAGGAACAAAUUGGAUGAGCACAAAAAUUUAACACAGUUAGUCCUUUCCUAUUCAGAGGAUAUGUGUAACUUCUCAGCUUAAGGACGAUAUUCUCAAGUGUGAGCCUCUGCACAACUUGUAUCUCGUUUACAAGGGUCAUCAUUAUGAAUUGUUUCCAUGAAAAAUCUUAUUGGCUGAACAUAACACUCGGAGUUCAAACUCUUUUGCAAAUAUGAUCUGUUCCCAGUCAUAGUAGGAAGGACAAUUUUGCAUAAAGAAGUGUAAAGCUUGACGAGGGUUUAGCCUUCAGGUGCUCUUAUCUUGGGCUAAAGAUGGGGGUGUGAGAGAUCGUACUCUUGUAUCAAGAGUUGCAAAAGAGUGAUUGCUACCAAGCCUUAGGAAUCUCAAACUUUUCCUUGCUUGUCCUCGCUUUUCCUCGUCGCAAAUCCAUCGCCGCUGUCUGCUUUCUACUCGAUUUGAUUGGCUCAAAUCUGAGCAUCCGUUAACGCCGUCACAUCGCUCUGCUGCGUGCAAACUACGUGAGAGCGGGGAUCUUCUUCUGGUAUGUCUUCCUCUGUUUUCUCUUUUCUGGUUGCGGCUUAAUCACAAUGGCCCUUUGCAUCUCCUAGUUUGGCGACUAUUAGUUUGAAAGUAGGUGUUUGUGGCGAGUGUUUAGCUACAAAAGCUGAAGUUGUUGCUCAGCGAGCUAAUCAGUGCAUUUCUCUCAAAAACUCAGCAGCUCGUCUUUGAAGAAAUAGGCUUAUACAUGAACUUGUAGGAAACAUAAAAAAAAAUGCUCAUAUUUAAAUACUCUUUUGAAAUAGAAAAGGUGACUAUAUUUAGAAAGUAGAGUUGACAAUGUAUAUAUUCACCUUUAUCUAGUGUCGCUUAUUGUCAUUUGUAGCUCUUGGUUUUUGUGUGUAUAGGUGUUUAUGCAAUAGCAGCAUGGCGCAUAUGACGUUUGUAUUGUGGACUUUCAUUUUUUUCUUUAGCAUGUUGCAAGAAGUGGAAACAGGUGAGGGAUUGAGUAGCAAGAGGGAGAAUUCCAUGGAAACAAGAAAGCAUCUCAAGCCUAGAAUUCCUAAACCCCAUCUUCUGCCUCGUCCUCUGUUGCAUCCUCUGCCUUUGCCUGGUGCACUACUCUUGGCAGACCUUCCUCCACUCCCAAAGUUUAUACCACGUUUUCUUGAUCUGUUUAUUAAUUGUUCAUGGACUUCCACAAUGAGUGAACCUUAGACAAGUGGUUUGAUCUUACUGAAAAAAGUAAGAUAAAUAGUUUUUGAUUAGAUCUAUUUAGUAUGGUUUCAAUGCAUAUAAUGUUUACUAAUAGUUUGAAGUGUUUCUAAAUUUACAAUGACUUGAUAAAUGUGUAAUAUUUUAAAUUUUAUAAAUUUUUUGCUGCUAUU